AUUGAACGCUGGCGGCAUGCCUAACACAUGCAAGUCGAACGAGUGGCGGACGGGUGAGUAAUGUCUGGGAACCUGCCCGAUGGAGGGGGAUAACUAAUGGAAACGGUAGCUAAUACCGCAUACCAUCGGAGGGGCCCAUGUGGGAUUAGCUGGUAGGUGGGGUAACGGCUCACCUAGGCGACGAUCCCUAGCUGGUCUGAGAGGAUGACCCGCCACACUGGAACUGAGACACGGUCCAGACUCCUACGGUAGGCAUCAGUGGGGAAUAUUGCACAAUGGGCGCAAGCCUGAUGCAGCCAUGCCGCGUGUAUGAAGAAGGCCUUCGGGUUGUAAAGGACUUUCAGCGGGGAGGCGUUACUCGCAGAAGAAGCACCGGCUAACUCCGUGCCAGCCGCCGCGGUAAUUC
rnacentral:rRNA from 1 species